CUCAGCAGUCCCAAGCUGAUCUUGUUUGGAUUCAAAAUUAAGAUGGCUCAGGCAUGAUUAGUAAUUGGAUAGGAGACUAUCCAGGAAUAUCAAAACUGUAGAGG
rnacentral:rRNA from 1 species